AGAAAAAAAAAACAAAGAAAGAUUAAUUUUAUACAGGUCUUUUCAAACAGUUUAAUUUUUAUAUGUUGUUUUAUAAAUAUCCUGAUAUUUUUAAAUAUGUCUUUCUGAUUUAUUACCGUUAGAGAACUGUUUAGGAUAAAUUGCAUUGUUACCUCCUGAACUUUUGGCGAAGUUUCACUUUACUUCUUGAACUUCUAAAAUGGACAUCUAACACUCUAAACUCUAAUAUUUCAUUUAUAUUACCCUUUUCGUCAGUUUUCUGCCAAACUCCGUUAAUCAGAAACUGACGGAAGGGAUAAAACGAAUGAAAUAUUAGAAUUUAGAGUGUUAGAUAUCUAGUUUAGAAAUUUGGGAGAUUAAGUGAAACUCGUCAAAAGUUUAGGAGGUAAAAGUGCAAUCGAAAAGAUAAGAACAAAACCAUAAGAGGGCAAUUUGAUAUAUUUUAAACCACAGGAGGACAAAAUAAGAAAGUACGAAACCACGCGGGGGUUUUGAAGUUUUCCCUAAAAACAAU
rnacentral:lncRNA from 1 species